GCCAGUGUGGCGUAAUGGUUUGAGUGCUGGACUACAACUCUGGAAGACCAGGGUUCAAAUCUCAGCUUGGCCA